CCCCUCCUUAAAACUUAAAUUACAUUUACCCCUACGGUCUGAACACCCGGAAGAAGGUACGAGGCUAUUCUGUCCCGUGAUGCCAAGGGAGAAAAACCCCCCCACCCAAGAGCGCAGCCCCGAGCGGCGGGCCGGGGGCGGGCUGGCGGGCGCGCGCGGGGGGGCAACAAGGUGAAGGAGGGCUGGGGGGACUGCAGCGCCGGGCGCUGCCUCCACACCCCACUGCCCUGCAUUUUCUCCACCACGUGGAAGAAUCUCGUGCGGGUGGCGCCCACGGGAGGCGGGGGUCCCGGUGCCACCCCCCCCCACCCCUCACUCCUCAGCCCCCUCCCCAGCGCAGGGCCCGGCCGGCUGCUCCCAGUCCCCUGCUCAGAGAAGUUUCCAGAGGAUUGGAGAAUGAAACAGCAGGCGCAUUCUGGAUUUCUUUUAUCCUAAUAAAACUCCUCCAAAGAAUUUGCCGUUUUCCCCUCUGCUUAAUAGCCAGGAUCUGGUUUCAGACCUGCCCGCAUAUUCCCUCAGCAACCCUCCCUGCUCAGUGCUUGUCCCGGGUUGACCUCCAUCCUGUUCAUUUCUAUCAUGUUUUAAGGAGCAUGGAACAUCAAAGCCACUAUUUUCUCUAUGGGGAAUCUGCCUUUCCUUGAAAUAGAAGUUGAAGAAUUAUUUAAAGAAUAUUCUUUCAAGGGAGCAGCAGUUGGAUCAUUGGUUUACCCAGAGCCCUCACAUGUCCCCACUCAGCCAUGGUGGUGCACCAAUUUUCACAUAAAAAAAUAUGGUAGUGCCACACUACUAAAGAAGAUACAUUUACUGGCAUUUCUGGAUUAGAAGUACUAGUUCAGUUCCAGAGGCAGAAAAUAACUCAGGAGGCUUAGGAAGACGUCAAGAAGAAAUAACUGGAUUCUUUGCUGUGUCUCUGCAGAGCAAGGGGGACCAUACCCUUUCAACUCUUCGAGUUUACAAGAGGGAGAUUCCAACUCUAUCAGCCCUUCCUCUGCCUGAUAGACCAGAGACUUCACAGCCCUGAUUCUGUCAGCUCUUCAAUGGAGCUUUCCCUUCAGGUGAACCUAGGCCUGGACCUGUUUGUGAUAGGUGUGUCUGUGCCUAAGAAAACGGCACUGCCAUCCUCAGUUACCUCCCAAAAGACUGUAGAGACAGGACCCUUUUCAUUUCUUUACACCAUUAAUUCAUCCAGUCAUUUAAGUCAGUAAAUAGUCAUUGAGCUCCUACAAAUGUGUCAGGCACUAUACUAGGCACUGAGGGAGGAGCAGAGAACAGACAAAUACCCGACUUGCAUGGAAUAUUGUAGUGGGUAAAAUAAGAUAUAGGCAGAUAAAUAUAUAAAUAUAGGAUCUGUCCAGUGGGGAUACUCUGCAAGGGACAAUUAAGCAAAAUCAGAGAAUACAGAGAUGAUGAAGGGGAUUCUAUUUGAUAUAAAGUAGUCAGAAAAGACCUCCCUGAUAAUGCAACGUCUGAGCAGAGCACGGGCCCAUGUACACAACACCUGUCUCAGCCUCAGCCACUGGCUUUUCUUGGCUGUUAUAGCAGCUAACAGACUCCAUGCAGACCCCUGUGGUUUCUCUGCCUGAGGACCACAAGCCACAGGUCUAGAAUAUCUGACUGCUCUCCCCAACCCUCUCCAAACUCAGCUGAAAUGCCAAGCCAUAGGCCUUGCCUCCUGAGCAACUGCCAAUGGGGCUAAAGGAUGAAAUACAGAAAUGCAGAGGAUUUAAUUUCCCCUGAAUGAACUUUGACCAGAGGGAGACAGGAGAUUGGAUAUUCUGGGCAGAUAAACUUCCUCUUCUUUUUUCCCUCUGAUGGACUGUUCCAGUAUAUGAUUUCUCCAUACAGCCUCUCUGAAGUCAACCUGUGUGACCAAACCUAUUUGCUUCCCUAGUGUUAUAAUUUGGACUGCAUUCCCCAAAAGAUAUGUUGAAGUCUUAACCCCAGUAUGUUAUUUGGAAAGAGGGUCUUUGCAGAUGUAAUCAAGUUAAGAUGAGAUCAUCAGGGUGGAGCCUAACCUAAUACAGCUGAUGCCCUUAUAAGAAGAAAAGACAGGACAUAGAGGGAGAAAAUGGCCAUAUGAUGACAGAGAGGAAGACUGGAAUGAUCCAUCUACCAGGCAAGGAACAUCAAGGAUUGCCAGCAAACACCAGAAGCCAGAAGAGGCAAGGAAUGAUCUCCUCUACAGUUUUCAGAGGGCAUGUGGCCCUGCCAACAUCUUUAUUUUGGAUUUCUAGCCUCCAGAACUGCAAGACAAUAAAUGUCUAUUGUUUUAGGGAGACCAUGUUCAUAGUACUUUGUUACAGCGGCCCUAGGAAACAAACACACUAAGUUACCAGCUAUGUUGGAUUUACCUCCCAAAUAAAGCACUAACAGUCCAUGCCUGAGGCUCUGUUUUCCAGAGAACUGUGACUGUGUCAAAGACCUGAAUAAAGUGAAGGAUGGUAUUUGAGGACAGAGAUUACAGACACAGGGAAGAUAAUCCAAAGGUGGCAGCAUGCUUGAUGUGUUAGAGGACCCGGAAGAAAGCUAGCGUGUUUGGAGAAUGAAUAAGGAGAAAAGUGCCAAGAGAUGAAGUCAAAGAGGGAGCCAAAGUUGCUAUCCCUAGGGCCUUAUGGACCACAGAAAAGACUUUGAAUUUUUUUAACAAGGUAUUAGUGAGAUGUAAUUUACAUAUAGUAGUAAAAUGAACAAAUCUUAUGGAUAUGGUUUUGUGAAAUUUUUUUUACACAUUGCUCUGGUUUGAAUAUGCCUCCCAUUCAUGUGUUAAAAACUAAUCCCCAAGGUGAUGGUAUUGAGAGGUGGGACCUUUGGUAGGUGACUAAGUCAUGAGGGCGGAUAUAUUAUAAAAAAAGACCCAAAAGAGCUCCCUUGCCUCCUACUACAUGAAGACAAAGGAAGUCCGCCAUUGGAAGAGGGCCAUCAC